GAUGAACGCUAGCGAUAGGCUUAACACAUGCAAGUCGAGGGGCAUCGAGGAAUAGCAAUAUUUUGUCGGCGACCGGCGCGCGGGUGAGUAACACGUAUGCAACCUACCCAUAACUGGGGAAUAACCCGUCGAAAGGCGGAUUAAUACCGCAUAACAAGGAUGAUCCGCAUGGAUUGUUUUUUAAAGAUUUAUCGGUUAUGGAUGGGCAUGCGUUCCAUUAGGUAGUUGGCGGGGCAACGGCCCACCAAGCCAUCGAUGGAUAGGGGUUCUGAGAGGAAGGUCCCCCACACUGGUACUGAGACACGGACCAGACUCCUACGGGAGGCAGCAGUGAGGAAUAUUGGUCAAUGGGCGAGAGCCUGAACCAGCCAAAUCGCGUGAAGGAUGAAGGUAUUAUGUAUUGUAAACUUCUUUUAUAGGGGAAUAAAGUGCACCACGUGUGGUGUUUUGUAUGUACCCUAGGAAUAAGGAUCGGCUAACUCCGUGCCAGCCGCCGCCCGUAA
rnacentral:rRNA from 1 species